rnacentral:rRNA from 1 species
UGGUAAAGUCAAAGCUCGCUAGGGAAAAAACACACAUCGUCAGCUAAGGUCCCAAAAUUGUGUUAAGUGAGAAAGGUUGUGAGAUUUCAUAAACAACUAGGAAGUUGGCUUAGAAGCAGCCACCUUUUAAAGAGUGCGUAAUUGCUCACUAGUCAAGAGAUCUUGCGCCAAUAAUGUAACGGGACUCAAACACAAUACCGAAGCUACGGGCACAUUAUGUGCGUUAGGAGAGCGUUUUAAUUUCGUUGAAGUCAGACCGUGAGGACUGGUGGAGAGAUUAAAAGUGAGAAUGCCGGCAUGAGUAACGAUUCGAAGUGAGAAUCUUCGACGCCUAUUGGGAAAGGUUUCCUGGGCAAGGUUCGUCCACCCAGGGUUAGUCAGGGCCUAAGAUGAGGCAGAAAUGCAUAGUCGAUGGACAACAGGUUAAUAUUCCUGUACUUGGUAAAAGAAUGAUGGAGUGACGAAAAAGGAUAGUUCUACCACUUACUGGAUUGUGGGGUAAGCAACAAGAGAGUUAUAUAGGCAAAUCCGUAUAGCAUAAUCUUGAGUUGUGAUGCAUAGUGAAGACUUCGGUCGAGUAACGAAUUGAAUGAUUUCAUGUUUCCAAGAAAAGCUUCUAGUGUUAAUUUUUUAUCAACCUGUACCGAGAACGAACACACGUUCCCAAGAUGAGUAUUCUAAGGCGAGCGAGAAAACCAAUGUUAAGGAACUCUGCAAAAUAACCCCGUAAGUUCGCGAGAAGGGGCGCCUAGUUUUAAUAGGCCACAGAAAAUAGGGGGGGCAACUGUUUAUCAAAAACACAGCUCUCUGCUAAGUUGUAAAACGACGUAUAGAGGGUGAAGCCUGCCCAGUGCCCG